ACGAGGGGCGGGGACCCCCCCGGGGGGGCUUUAAACAAACCCCAUACCCGAACCCCCCCGGAAGGGCCCUCCUUGCAGGGCAUAAUAAGGGACCCCCCCCGGAGGUGAGGAUGGGGGGGCAGGUGUUGUCCGGAAUUAUUGGGCGUAAAGAGCUCGUAUGUGGUUCGUCACGUCUGAUGUGAAAAUCUGGAGCUUAACCCCAGACCUGCAUUCGAUACGGGCGAGCUUGAGUGUGGUAAGGGAGACUGGAAUUCCUGGUGUAGCGGUGGAAUGCGCAGAUAUCAGGAGGAACACCAAUGGCGAAGGCAGGUCUCUGGGCCAUUACUGACACUGAGGAGCGAAAGCGUGGGGAGCUGAUAUUUAUUAGAUACCCUGGUAAUCCACGCCGUAAACGGGGGGAACUAGUUGUGGGAACCUUCCACGGUUUCUGCGACGCAACUAAAUCAUUAAGCCCCCCGGCUGGGGAGUCCAACCGCAAAAAUAAAAAUCAAAUGUAUUGACGGA
rnacentral:rRNA from 1 species